rnacentral:rRNA from 1 species
AUUGAACGCUGGCGGAAUGCUUUACACAUGCAAGUCGAACGGCAGCACGGGGCAACCUGGUGGCGAGUGGCGAACGGGUGAGUAAUACAUCGGAACGUGCCCAAUCGUGGGGGAUAACGUAGCGAAAGUUACGCUAAUACCGCAUACGAUCUACGGAUGAAAGCGGGGGAUCGCAAGACCUCGCGCGAAUGGAGCGGCCGAUGUCAGAUUAGGUAGUUGGUGGGGUAAAGGCUCACCAAGCCAACGAUCUGUAGCUGGUCUGAGAGGACGACCAGCCACACUGGAACUGAGACACGGUCCAGACUCCUACGGGAGGCAGCAGUGGGGAAUUUUGGACAAUGGGCGCAAGCCUGAUCCAGCCAUUCCGCGUGCAGGAUGAAGGCCUUCGGGUUGUAAACUGCUUUUGUACGG